rnacentral:lncRNA from 1 species
UUUCAGAUUUAUCUCAUACCAUUCAAAAAUUUUGAUUUCCCACAUCCCUAACCCUAACCCCGAACCCCCAAAUCUGACCAGUUUGCUCACAUCCUCUCUUUACCAGUCUCCAUUGCUUCCCAAAUCACGUCUCCAUUGCUUCCAAAAUCAUGGAACGAUCACCGUGAACGGUUGAGCACCACCACCACACUUCUUCCUAUUCAUAUUGGGAAGGCCCUUUGAUCCUCGUUCAACAGCCUUUCAUCUCGUUCGACCAUUCAGUUAGCCACUUUGAUCGAUUGCUUCACUGAGAAAUUGUGUACUACAAAGGAGCGGAGCACUUAUCGAGUUUUGGGGGCUUAUAUUUUCUAACUUCCCCAUUUCGUUCUAUUUGAUUCGAGUUACUAAGUUUUGGGGGCGAGAGUCGAUUCUAGAAUUAGAGCAGAGUCGUCGUGAGUCUACUUUUCUAGGCAUCAAGAAUUCAAGCAAUUAAACUGAAAAAUGAUGACCCGCACAAGAAAUUACCGACUUUAAUGAAGGUGUUUGAACGUACAUGUAAAAGGAAAUAAGGGCGUGUAUAUGUUGCUACAUAUGACGACACGACAAGGAAUAUUAGUAGUUGAUGGAACCAAUCAAAGCAAACGUUGAAGUUUAGAAAAUCCAGUUGCUGGAAAAUAUGUAAAGAGAGUCAAGGGGAUCAUGAUAGAAAUCUAUCCGAGCUCAAAGUUACGUGAAAAGAUAUUGACAGACAAUAACAAAACAUGGAAGCUAUUAUGCGGAAGGUUAUGAAACGACUGUUAGUUGGAGAUAGAGAUGAGUCAAUUUUUUUCAUUUCUAUUUUUUAUUGUAAUCAACACUUUGUGUAGAGUAUAAAUUGUUACUUGAGUUU